rnacentral:rRNA from 1 species
GAUGAACGCUGGCGGCGUGCCUAAUACAUGCAAGUCGAGCGAACAGACGAGGAGCUUGCUCCUCUGACGUUAGCGGCGGACGGGUGAGUAACACGUGGAUAACCUACCUAUAAGACUGGGAUAACUUCGGGAAACCGGAGCUAAUACCGGAUAAUAUAUUGAACCGCAUGGUUCAAUAGUGAAAGACGGUUUUGCUGUCACUUAUAGAUGGAUCCGCGCCGCAUUAGCUAGUUGGUAAGGUAACGGCUUACCAAGGCAACGAUGCGUAGCCGACCUGAGAGGGUGAUCAGCCACACUGGAACUGAGACACGGUCCAGACUCCUACGGGAGGCAGCAGUAGGGAAUAUUCCGCAAUGGGCGAAAGCCUGACGGAGCAACGCCGCGUGAGUGAUGAAGGUCUUCGGAUCGUAAAACUCUGUUAUUAGGGAAGAACAAAUGUGUAAGUAACUAUGCACGUCUUGACGGUACCUAAUCAGAAAGCAACGGCUAACUACGUG